AGUCUCUAGUCUCUAUUUGAGACAUUUUGUGAAUAACAAAAUCGUCUCAAGUCUCAAACAUCGUCUCUGUCAACAGUAGUAUCACUGUACAGAAUCGCACGGAUAAUCCAAAAGCUGGAUGCCAUUGAGACACAGGUAGCAAAACUCAUAAUUGGUGUUGAUGCCAUUGAAAAGGCCCUAAAAGACAAGACGCAAAGACGUUAAAGACGCACCAUUCAAUUAGGCGCAUCACCGACGAGCGCUGUGGAGCUGGCUUCGAAAUUGCCCUUGUGAUUGGAAGAGCACGUGUGCAUCGUGGAAGACAAACUUUCACAAAAGGAAUGCACGGAUGCUAUAAUGCGGUUAAUAUUGAUGGCAAGGGGCGCAAAGAUAAGGAAUCGCUACUAAAGCUUAAGUGUGUAGGAUUAGUUUUUUUUACUGAUAUAAAGUGGUACCUCGACAUUCGAAUUUAAUUCGUUCCGCAACCUUGCUUGUAUCUUGAAUUACUCGUAUGUCGAAGCAAAUUUCCCCAUACAAAACAUUUGAAUUAACAUUACUCCUUUCCAACCUCCAAAAUGUCACCCAAGUUAUUUUCGUUACGUGGUUUUGAAUAAUAAAAACGUAU